GAGUGCGUAGCUCAGCGGUAGAGCAUCUGACUUUUAAUCAGAGGGUCGAGGGUUCGACCCCCUCCGCGCUCACCA
rnacentral:tRNA from 1 species